rnacentral:misc_RNA from 2 species
GAAAUGCGAUACGUAAUGUGAAUUGCAGAAUUCAGUGAAUCAUCGAAUCUUUGAACGCAUAUUGCGCUCUUUGGUAUUCCGAAGAGCAUGCUUGUUUGAGUAUCAGUAAACACCUCAACCUCUCUUUUUUGAUAAAAAAAAGGGAGGGUGGACUUGAGCUAUCCCAACGACCUUCACCGGUAGGCGGGCGGCUUGAAAUGCAGGUGCAGCUGGACUUUUAUCUGAGCUAAAAGCAUAUCUAUUUAGUCCUCGUCAAACAGGAUUAUUACUUUUGCUGCAGCUAACAUAAAGGAUAAUUGUCCUCUUUGCUGACUGAUGCAGGAUUUUACGACACUUUAUGUGUUGUUCAACUCGAUCUCAAAUCAAGUAAGACUACCCGCUGAACUUAA